UACGUAGGGUGCGAGCGUUGUCCGGAAUUAUUGGGCGUAAAGAGCUCGUAGGCGGUCUGUCGCGUCGGUCGUGAAAACUUGGGGCUUAACCCUGAGCUUGCGGUCGAUACGGGCAUGACUGGAGUUCGGUAGGGGAGGACUGGAAUUCCUGGUGUAGCGGUGAAAUGCGUAGAGAUCGGGCGGGAACACCAGCGGCGGAAGGCGGCAUCCUGGCCCUGACCUGACGCUGAGGCGCGAGAGCGUGGGGAGCAAACCGG
rnacentral:rRNA from 1 species